rnacentral:lncRNA from 1 species
AACAAAAAGGGUGAGAAUUCAUUUCAAUAAUAAACGGUAUAAAAUGAAGAAUAUAGUACAACAUCAACACAAUCAUGCACAACAACAUAUCACAUUCUCACACCCAAAUCAUCAUCAAUAUCAUACACAAAAACAUCUCAAUUAUCAUUAACAUCGUACAAAACUACAUAUCAAUUAUCAUUAACAGGAUACACAACCACAUCUCAAUU